rnacentral:tRNA from 1 species
GCGGGCGUCGUAUAUCGGUAUUACCUCGGCUUUCCAAGCCGAUGAGGUGAGUUCGACUCUCAUCGCCCGCUCCA